rnacentral:sRNA from 1 species
UGACCAUCAGCGAGAGGAGACUGCC